UGCAAAUGAACCGAAGUGUUCCAACAAUCUGUUUAAAGAGUUUUGUACGAAUUCCAUUCCAAGAAAAUAUCCUAGUUUGCCGAGGGGCAUAAACUUCAUUGAAGUCUAUCCCAGUUUCACAAGUUUCCACGUUUUAUUUCGUUCAAUGGAUGACAGCUCUUCCUGCAUAGCAUCUUGCCACUCCUUGAUCUCAACUGCUUGAUUCCAUGUGAGUGUAUCAGCACCUGCAAAUAGAGCAUACUGGACAAUAUCUCG